rnacentral:antisense_RNA from 1 species
CUUCACCGAGCCGAGCCACAGCGGGCGGUCCUCGGGGCGUGCGGCGCCGUACGUGGCCAGCAGUGCUUCCGCCUC